UACGUAGGCAGCGAGCGUUGUUCGGAAUUACUGGGCGUAAAGAGUGUGUAGGCGGUGCUCUAAGUUCGGUGUGAAAUCUCCCGCUUAACUGGGAGGGUGCGCCGGAAACUGGAGUGCUCGAGCGUGGGAGAGGAAAGCGGAAUUCCUGGUGUAGCGGUGAAAUGCGUAGAUAUCAGGAGGAACACCGGUGGUGUAGACGGCUCUCUGGACCGUAACUGACGCUGAGGCACGAAAGCGUGGGGAGCAAACAGG
rnacentral:rRNA from 1 species